AUACGUAGGUCCCGAACGUUGCGCGAAAUUACUGGGCGUAAAGGGUCCGUAGGCGGUCUGGUAAGUGGAAGGUGAAAGCCUGGGGCUCAACUCCAGAAUUGCCUUCCAAACUGCCGGACUUGAGGCAGGGAGAGGUCGGCGGAAUUCCCGGUGUAGUGGUGAAAUGCGUAGAUAUCGGGAGGAACACCAGUGGCGAAGGCGGCCGACUGGAACUGUCCUGACGCUGAGGGACGAAAGCCAGGGGAGCGAACCGUAUUAGAAACCCCAGUAGUCC
rnacentral:rRNA from 1 species